AAGGGCUGCACUUUUCUUUUCCGGCCAGAGCGACGGCAGCAUAAAUGGUUGGCUCCUCCCCACGGCGGCGCGCCACUUCCGGUCUUCGCCUCUUCAGGCUCCGGUAGAAACAUGAGUUAAGAGAGGAGGUUCCUGGUCUGAACUGCGUCUCACAUUCUCUGCUAUCUGUAUUUGGUUUGAGAUGGGCCAUGUGGGGUUUGAAUUUGGGGAAACUUUCUAUGUACAUGGACACGUAUAACAGACUAGAAAUUGUUGACCUCCUGAACCACCCUGUUUUUAAAGCCCUGGGAAUCGCAGGUUCUUAAUUUCUCUUCGAAUGUUAAUUUUGGCAGGAGUGCAAAGUAUGUUGCUACAGGAGUAAUGUAGUGAGAGAGCAGGAAAUUUUAUUCUCUUUUUCAGAGCUGCUUCCCCUGGCAAAUUGCAAAGAAUGUCUAACGGACUUUGGAGUGAAAUAAUAGGCAGUAGUGAGGCUUUUGGCAAAUUGGAAGGUGCAAGAAGGCCCAACUCAAACCAACACAUAGAAAUGUGCAAUGAUCUGAAUGUGUCCCCUAAAAUUCAUGUGUUAAUCCCCAAUGUAACAUGUUAUAAGGUGGAGUCUUGGGAGGUUGUUUAGAUCAUGAGGGCUCUGCCCUUAGUAUGGAUUAACCUCCAGAGUUUUCUGCCAUGUGAGGACAUAGGAUUCAUCUCCUCUGGAGGACACAGCCUUCAAACCUGCCAGCACCUUGAUCUUGGAGUUCUUGGGCACCAGAACUAUGAGAAAGAUUGAACCCAGGGCUUCGCACAUUCUAGGCAAGAACUCUACCGCUGAGCCACAGCUCCUGCCCAACAGUAUAUUUUCUUAUAGGUUUCUGUCAGAAAGAGUGGCUUUCCUAUCCUGAGGAUGGUGCUCAGAAAAAAGUGGCCCAACUCCCUUGAAUACCUGUUCCGGGUGGGACUGUCAGAAGUACCAGAUGGACUGAAUUCCACAGUGGGAGAAUUAUUCUAACCCAGAGCAAGUAAACAAUGAGAGUCAGGCUGCUCUUGAGGUCUGUAACUCGGCCCCAACCUUGGGCGCUCUCAGCGCAUUUGACUAAAACUUUGUGACUCUAACCCAGUUUCACUCUGAGCCUUGAAUACACUGUCUCAUUGUCACACUAAGCCUGGCAACUGCCUCAGGCCUUGGAGCCUUUCUGACUGGAUUUUCUUUCUACCACCCCAGCUCUUUGGUGGACAUUCAUUCUCUAGCACUUGCUGGUGAGAUAGCCACAGAUACACAGUAUAGAACCUGGCCAGGACUUCCAAAAUUCUGGUAUUUCUCCUUGCUCACAUUGUUUUUCCCUUCUGCAUUGUUCUGCUCAUGGUUUCAGUUCCUAGUCCGUUGGCUCUACUGAUCAUAGGCCUGUGGCAAGGUCGCAGAUCAUAGCUACAGCAUGUGGUAGAGUAAAGCUGCCUCCCUCGAGGCUGCCAGGAAGCAGAGACAGAACGGGGCCAAGGUCCCAAAAUUCCCUCUAGGACACACCCCUAAAGACCUAACUCCCUCCAAUUAGGUCUUACCUCCUAGAAGAUCUACCACAUCCCAAAAGCCCCAUGGGCUGGUGACCAAGCCAUUAGCAUCUGGGCUUUUGGGGGAUAUUUAAGAUCCAAGCCACAAGUGUUGUAUCUUCCUUUUAAAGUGUAUCUAUUUGUAUCAGAGGAAAAUUUCUAGGACAAGUAGUCAAAAUAAUAGUGGUUACCUCUUGGUAGGGGGAAGUUUUGACUGUUUACUUUUCCAAGAACAAACAUGUUAUGAUAUUACUUAGAAAAAUCUGCAAACUGAGCCUAUGGAUUGGA